CCUACGGGAGGCAGCAGUAGGGAAUAUUGCUCAAUGGGGGAAACCCUGAAGCAGCAACGCCGCGUGGAGGAUGAAGGUUUUCGGAUUGUAAACUCCUUUUGUUAGAGAAGAUAAUGACGGUAUCUAACGAAUCAGCACCGGCUACCUCCGUGCCAGCAGCCGGGGUAAUACGGGGGGUGCAAGCGUUAAUCGGAAUCACUGGGCGUAAAGAGCGAGUAGGCGGGAUAGCAAGUCAGAUGUGAAAUCCUAUGGCUUAACCAUAGAACUGCAUUUGAAACUGUUAUUCUUGAGUAUGGGAGAGGUAGGUGGAAUGCUUGGUGUAGGGGUGAAAUGCGUAGAGAUCAAGAAGAAUACUCAUUGCGAAGGCGACCUGCUAGAGCAUAACUGACGCUGAUGCGCGAAAGCGUGGGGAGCGAACAGGAUUAGAUACCCCUGUAGUC
rnacentral:rRNA from 1 species